UUAUAAUAGUGAUAAAAUAAAACCAGAGCAGACCAAUUCCAUCCAUCAAACAAUCGAGUGGCGAGCAUCUAUUCGAUGGCUGUCCGUAUUCGUUUAUAUCAUCAAUAAAUUUUGUUCGGUGGCAAGUCAUGGGAGCCAUUAGUAGCGUGCCCAUAGAUGUAAGGAUAGGGGAUCUGUUCACAGGGAUUCAGCUCUUUCGGCCUCUGCCCGCUUUUGUCUGGCAUUUUUGAGUUGAAAGAAAUGCGAGGUAUAAGAAGUUAUCUUCAUAGAAAGUAGAUAUAAGAAGUUGAAGGGCUCGAGACAAGAGGAACAAGCUCUUCAAGGAUGGUCGGGAGCCUCUGCUGCAGUUAUAGCUGUAAACGCAAGGGAAUAAAUCCAGGGAUCCAUCUUUUAUUUUAUGCUUUAGUAUUAGUAGCUCUUUUUUUUUAUUAAUUUAAAUUCUGUUGAACUUUAUUUUUAAAUGCAGUCAGGAAAAAUCGUCAUCUAAAAAAAAAAUCGAGUGGCGAGCUGAUAUCGUAAUCAUGGUAAUUGAUUGACGUAUCCUAAGCGGGAUAUGUAGAUGAAUAGAAUGGUGAGUAGAUGACAGCAAAUUUGAGGUGUGUUAAUAAAUCUGAAGAGUCAUAUCAUGGACCUCACGGUUUCCCUCCCAAAUUUCCAAUGGCCGUCUGACCGCACAACCGUCCAUUCAAAACCCAUCCAAUUAUCAAACACACUGCUGUUGCCUGUUGCACUGACUCACCGGUUAGAGAAAAUUCAAAAAAGGAAGUCCACUAGACCACCACUACUUUUAUUAUUAAACUACACUACUAUACAACACUAGAGAAAAUAUGAAACGUCAUUUCAUGUCUAGACUUCAUGUGAUUUAAUUCAUGCAGAUUUUACCAGAAUAGAUGACACGUUACAUCAAUUCAUUAUCUUCUGGAUUAUUUUCAAUUUUAUGUUGCCAGCCAACAUCAAACAUUCAAGAAUCGAGACCUGAUAUCUUUCCAAAAAGUACAGGUACAAAUGCUCCUAAUCCCCUAUAGAGUAUAAUAAACUAUACAAGGAUUUUUAAAAGCUAUUAUAUAAAACAAAAUUCAUUUUGCAAAAUCUUCCUGUAAUUUCCUAAAAACUCUUCUAUUUAGACACCAUGCAAUAAUUUAGAAUCUUAGAUGGUUCGAUGAAGAUAUAGGAAGAGACUGAUUCUUCUAUUUUUACAUAUUACACAUGGACGGACAUGCAUUACAAACCAAUUAGUGCAUGAUUCUCUACUUUAGAAGUCAAAAUUUUAACAAAUGAUAAAUAUACCACAAAUAGGGAGGGGGGGGACUAAUAACUGAGUACUGCUCAAAGAAGAAUAAGAAAGCCAGUGGAAGCUCCUGCUAGAUUAGGAAAUUAACAUACAAUGGGAAUACGUACAUGAGCCCAAUGACAUUCAUGAUUCCUGAGGUGCACAGCUAAAACCUGUGUUCUAUUUCUUCUUUCUUAUUGGUUUUACAAUUCGCCUGUUGGACUUGUUGUCACCACCACCACCACUGCCUAAUGAGAAACUUCCUCCAGCAGCCUGGAAUUGAGGAGCUUGGGGAAAAGCAGAAUUUGGCUGACUGCCGAACUGAAAAUUUGCUGGCUGGGAAGACAGAGAACUGAAAUUUACUGAUGG
rnacentral:lncRNA from 1 species